ACGCUCGACACCUACGGGAUGCAGCAGUGGGGAAUAUUGCACAAUGGGGGAAACCCUGAUGCAGCGACGCCGCGUGGAGGAAGAAGGUCUUCGGAUUGUAAACUCCUGUUGUUGGGGAAAAGAGGAUGGUACCCAACAAGGAAGUGACGGCUAACUACGUGCCAGCAGCCGCGGUAAUCUGAGCGGGCUGGCAAGGC
rnacentral:rRNA from 1 species